AUAGCUUUUUAGCCUUUGGCUAAGAUCAAGUAUAGUAUUUGUUUUUGUGGAUUUUAAUAACUGAUGUGUUCUCUAUCCAAGGACAACAUAUUUAGAUUAUACAUGUC
rnacentral:snRNA from 1 species